AUUAUUACGAUAUUAAAUAAAUUCAUAAGCAUUAUGAAUUAAUAUUAAUUAUGAAUUAAUUAUGAAUUAUCAUAAAUAAAAUAUACAAAGAAAGGAAAAUCAAGAGAAAAGAAUUAAGAAUUGAUUAUCAGCGCUAUCUCUCUAAUAUUAAAAUUAAUUCUUCACGAUGUUAAAAAAUUAUCUUGUUCAUGAUAUAGGAUUGUUUAUGGUAGGAAAGUCAUUGGUUAUAACAUUCAAAUUCUUAAUAUAAUAAUAACACGAACAUUUAUUUCGUCUAUGUAUUUCGUAUAUACUUUUUGAUGAUCAAAAAAUGGAUAACAAUCUGACAAAAUAUAUUUUGAUACAUAAAACAAAUAUGUUAACGUGACAUUGAAAAUAUGUGACAAUGUACUUAGUUCUUGUAAUAUUUCCGAGAUGUGGAAUAAAUGCAUUAAAUAUUAGUAUUCUUA